rnacentral:rRNA from 1 species
GACGAACCGUCCAAACGUUAUUCGGAAUCACUGGGCUUACAGAGUUCGUAGGCGGUCUAGAAAGUUGGGUGUGAAAUCCCUCGGCUCAACCGAGGAACUGCGCUCAAAAACUACUCGACUCGAGGGAGAUAGAGGAAAGCGGAACUGAUGGUGGAGCGGUGAAAUGCGUUGAUAUCAUCAGGAACACCGGUGGCGAAGGCGGCGAUCUGGGCAGAUAUUGACGCUGAUGUGCGAAAGCGUGGGGAGCAAACAGG